rnacentral:rRNA from 1 species
UGGUUGAUCCUGCUAGUUGUCAUAUGCUUGUCUCAAAGAUUAAGCCAUGCAUGUAUAAGUAUGAACUAAUUCAGACCAUGAAACUGCGAAUGGCUCAUUAAAUCAGUUAUAGUUUGUUUGAUGGUACGCGCUACUCGGAUAACUGUAGUAAUUCUAGAGUUAAUACGUGCAACAAACAUUAACUUCUGGAAGGGAUGCAUUUAUUAGAUAAAAGGUCGACACGGGCUCUGCCCGGCGCUCCGAUGAUUCAUGAUAACUCGACAGACCGCACAGCCCAUGUGCCGGCGAUGCAUCAUUCAAAUUUCUGCCCUAUCAACUUUCGAUGGUAGGAUAAGGGCCUACCAUGGUGGUGACGGGUGACGGAGAAUUACGGUUCGAUUUCGGAGAGGGAGCCUGAGAAACGGCUACCACAUCCAAGGAAGGCAGCAGGCGCGCGAAUUACUCAAUCCUGACACGGGAAUGUAGUGACCAUAAAUAAUAAUACCGAGCUCCUCGAGUCUGGUAAUUGGAAUGAGUAAAAUCUAAAUCCCUUAACGAGGAUCCAUUGGAGCGCAAGUCUGGUGCCAGCAGCCGCGGUAAUUCCAGCUCCAAUAGCGUAUAUUUAAGUUUGUGCAGUUAAAAAGCUCAUAGUUGGACCUUGGGCUGGGCCGGCUUGUCCGCCCCAUGUUGUGCACCGGCCUUCCCGUCCCUUCUGCCGACGAUGCGCUCCUGUCCUUAGCUGGACGGGUCGUGCCUCCGGCGCCGUUACUUUGAAGAAAUUAGAGUGCUCAAAGCAAGCCCACGCACUGGAUACAUUAGCAUGGGAUAACAUCACAGGAUUUCGGUCCUAUUGUGUUCGCCUUCAGGAUCGGAGUAAUGAUUAAGCAGGACAGCCGGGGGCAUUCAUAUUUCAUAGUCAGAGGUGAAAUUCUUAGAUUUAUGAAAGACGAACCACUGCGAAAGCAUUUGCCAAGGAUGUUUUCAUUAAUCAAGAACAAAAGUUGGGGGCUUGAAGACGAUCAGAUACCGUCCUAGUCUCAACCAUAAACGAUGCCGACCAGGGAUCGAUGGAUGUUGCUUUCAGGACUCCGCUGGCACCUUAUGAGUAAUCAAAGUUUUUGGGUUCCGGGGAGAGUAUAGUCGCAAGGCUAAAACUUAAAAGAAUUGAUGGAAGGGCACCACCAGGAGUGGAGCCUGCGGCUUAAUUUGACUCAACACGGAAAAACUUACCAGGUCCAGACAUAGCAACAAUUGACAGACUGAGAGCUCUUUCUUGAUUCUAUGGGUGGUGGUGCAUGGCCGUUCUUAGUUGGUGGAGCGAUUUGUCUGGUUAAUUUCAUUAACGAAUGAAACCUCUGCCUGCUAACUAGCUAUGCGGAGGCAUCCCUCCACGGCCAGCUUCUUAGAGGGACUAUGGCCGCUUAGGCCACGAAAGUUUGAGGCAAUAACAGGUCUGUGUGUUGGAAACCCUAGUGGUCGCAUGCAUAUAUUUUUAAAAAUUUUACAGCAGAAGCAUGAAUUAAACUAUUUAAUUCCUAUGCAUGCUAGAGAUCAUAUCUCUACAAUAAAAAUAGAUCCAGGAUUUUAAACAUUUAUCCUAAACAAGUAUGCAUG